rnacentral:rRNA from 1 species
ACUCCUACGGGAGGCAGCAGUAGGGAAUUUUCCGCAAUGGACGAAAGUCUGACGGAGCAAUGCCGCGUGAGGUGAUGAAGGUUUUCGAAUCGUAAAGCUCUGUUGUAAGGGAAGAAUAGCAGUAGUAGGAAAUGACUACCUGUGUGACGGUACCUUACCAGAAAGCCACGGCUAACUACGUGCCAGCAGCCGCGGUAAUACGUAGGUGGCAAAGCGUUAUCCGGAAUUAUUGGGGCGUAAAGCGCAUGUAGGCGGCUCUUUAAGUCUGAUGUGAAAGCCUGUGGCUCAACCACAGAAUUGCAUUGGAUACUGGAGAGCUAGAAUCUUGGAGAGGUAAGUGGAAUUUCA